rnacentral:rRNA from 1 species
GAUGAACGCUGGCGGCGUGCCUAAUACAUGCAAGUCGAGCGAACAGAUAAGGAGCUUGCUCCUUUGACGUUAGCGGCGGACGGGUGAGUAACACGUGGAUAACCUACCUAUAAGACUGGGAUAACUUCGGGAAACCGGAGCUAAUACCGGAUAACAUAUUGAACCGCAUGGUUCAAUAGUGAAAGGCGGCUUUGCUGUCACUUAUAGAUGGAUCCGCGCCGUAUUAGCUAGUUGGUAAGGUAACGGCUUACCAAGGCAACGAUACGUAGCCGACCUGAGAGGGUGAUCGGCCACACUGGAACUAAGACACGGUCCAGACUCCUACGGGAGGCAGCAGUAGGGAAUCUUCCGCAAUGGGCGAAAGCCUGACGGAGCAACGCCGCGUGAGUGAUGAAGGUCUUCGGAUCGUAAAACUCUGUUAUCAGGGAAGAACAAAUGUGUAAGUAACUGUGCACAUCUUGACGGUACCUGAUCAGAAAGCCACGGCUAACUACGUG